rnacentral:rRNA from 1 species
GGAAUAUUGCACAAUGGGCGAAAGCCUGAUGCAGCGACGCCGCGUGAGGGAUGACGGCCUUCGGGUUGUAAACCUCUUUCAGCAGGGAAGAAGCGAAAGUGACGGUACCUGCAGAAGAAGCGCCGGCUAACUACGUGCCAGCAGCCGCGGUAAGACGUAGGGCGCGAGCGUUGUCCGGAAUUAUUGGGCGUAAAGAGCUCGUAGGCGGUCUGUCGCGUCGGAUGUGAAAGCCCGGGGCUUAACCCCGGGUCUGCAUUCGAUACGGGCAGACUAGAGUGUGGUAGGGGAGAUCGGAAUUCCUGGUGUAGCGGUGAAAUGCGCAGAUAUCAGGAGGAACACCGGUGGCGAAGGCGGAUCUCUGGGCCAUUACUGACGCUGAGGAGCGAAAGCGUGGGGAGCGAACAGG